UCUCCGUUGGUGGACCAGCGGAGGGAUCAUUACAGAGUUGCAAAACUCCCAAACCAUUGUGAACGUUACCUAUCCCGUUGCUUCGGCGGGCGGCCCGGGCCCCGCGCCCGGCGCCCCCCGGCCCCCCGUGGGCGCCCGCCGGAGGUAAACCAAACCCUUGAAUUGCAUGGCCUCUCUGAGUCUUCUGUACUGAAUAAGUCAAAACUUUCAACAACGGAUCUCUUGGUUCUG
rnacentral:misc_RNA from 1 species